AUUUUUAUUUGUUCGAGGGUAGA
rnacentral:snRNA from 1 species